rnacentral:rRNA from 1 species
UACAGAGGGUGCAAGCGUUAAUCGGAAUUACUGGGCGUAAAGCGUGCGUAGACGGUUAUUUAAGUCAGGUGUGUAAGCCCCGGGCUCAACCUGGGAAUUGCAUUUGAGACUGAAUAGCUAGGGUGCGGAAGAGGGAAGCGGAAUUUCCGGUGUAGCGGUGAAAUGCGUAGAUAUCGGAAGGAACACCAGUGGCGAAAGCGGCUUCCUGGUCCAGCACCGACGUUCAGGCACGAAAGCGUGGGGAGCAAACAGG